rnacentral:rRNA from 1 species
CACGAAGGGGGCUAGCGUUGCUCGGAAUCACUGGGCGUAAAGCGCACGUAGGCGGCUUUUUAAGUCAGGGGUGAAAUCCUGGAGCUCAACUCCAGAACUGCCUUUGAUACUGGGAAGCUUGAGUCCGGGAGAGGUGAGUGGAACUCCGAGUGUAGAGGUGAAAUUCGUAGAUAUUCGGAAGAACACCAGUGGCGAAGGCGGCUCACUGGCCCGGUACUGACGCUGAGGUGCGAAAGCGUGGGGAGCAAACAGG